rnacentral:tRNA from 1 species
AAUGGCAGAUUAGUGCAUUGGACUUAAACCCCAAAUAUAAAUAACUUUUUUUAGAA